rnacentral:rRNA from 1 species
UACGAACUGUGCAAACGUUAUUCGGAAUCACUGGGCUUAAAGGGUGCGUAGGCGGCUUGUUAAGUAGGGUGUGAAAUCCCCCGGCUCAACCGGGGAACUGCGUGUGAUACUGGCGGGCUUGAAUUCGGGGAGAGGGAUGUGGAAUUCCAGGUGUAGCGGUGAAAUGCGUAGAUAUCUGGAGGAACACCGGUGGCGAAGGCGGCAUCCUGGACCGAGAUUGACGCUGAGGCGCGAAAGCUAGGGGAGCAAACGGG